AUGGGAGUGAUGAAUAUGAUGGGCAAGUUUUAUGCCAAAAUACAUGCUGGGAGGCUGGAAAAGUAGCUAGAGAUAAGUUAAGGAAAAAGAUUGCAACUUAUAAGGAGGGAGUUGCUUUGAGAAAGCAGGAAGUUGAACAGACAAAACUAGCAAUCGCCAAAGAUGAGGCGGAACUAUCAAAGUUAAGAAAUGAGGAGAGCGUACUGAAAGGGCUAGUUCAACAGCUUAAAGAGCAUAGAGAACAGAUAGAGAAAGCAGAAGAGAAAGAACGCUUACAGAAAGAAAAGGAAGAAAGAGAAAAAAUUGAAGCUGAAGGAAAAGCUAAUAGGGAGAAAAGUGGAGUUGAAGUGGAAGCUCAACAAGAAAAAGGAGAGGCCAUGGAGAAAUCUAAUGUUGGAGACAAUCCUGUGGAACGUGUCGAUGAUGAUAAAAUUGGUGUUCUGGAUGAGUCACCUUUGGAUCAGGAUGAGGUUGGGGAGCAUACUGAUUAUGCAGCUGUUGCUGAAAUAGCUGAUAGUUCCAAAAUUGAAGGAUCACCAGUAAAUGAAGUGAAGCAGCAUGUGGCACAGGUGGAGGAAAAGUCCAUCUCACCUGAAAGCAAGGAUGGCUCUGCAGUUCUGAGUGAAACUGGUCAUGAUUCUAAGAGUGAGGUGUCUCAUGAUCAAGCUGUGAAAGUGGGCAAUUAUGCAUCUGAAAAUAUUGAAGGUUUGUCGAAGGAAGAGCUGGGCCGCCUUGUUGCUUCUCGUUGGACAGGAGAUUCUGGGAGGGAAACUGAGGGAGUUGAAAAUUCUGAGAGGCAAAUUCAGGGAGUUGAUGUUGCAAAGGAUAAUAACAAUGAAGACAUGACACCAGAUGUGCGUGAUAAGGAAUAUGAUGGGUAUGCUUCAAAAACUGAUGAUGAAAUUGGAAAGUAUGAUGAUGUUACCACAGAAGAUGAUAUAGACGGGACUUAUGAAGAGGAUGCUCAUGAUCAUGCUGGUUUAUCAUACAAAUCUGACCCUGAGGAUGAAUUAGAUUUGUCAGAUAUAGCCCCCCCAAGAAACCCAUCUUGGUUGGAGAAGAUACAACAAACUGUUAGUAGCAUUCUGCAAGCUGUUAAUUUCUUCCAAAAUCCAGUGGACAAAUCAGAGGCAGCUCGUGUACGCAAGGAAUAUGAAGAGUCCAGCACCAAGUUGUCUAAAUUACAGUCAAGGAUAUCAAGUUUGACACAAAAGUUAAAACAUGAUUUUGGAACAGAGAAGGAGUUCUAUUCAUUCUAUGGUCACUGUUUUGAAAGCAAGCAGAACAAGUAUGUUUACAAAGUAUGCCCUUUCAAACAAGCUUCCCAGGUGGAGGUCCAUACAACAACUCGUUUGGGGCAUUGGGACAAAUUUGAGGAUUUGUACCGGUCCAUGAUAU
rnacentral:misc_RNA from 1 species